CUCCUUGAAACUUUCCAUGUCUCACAGAUGUUGUGCAGCAUGCAAGCUGCCACUACAAAGGCCAUGAUAUUUUCUGGCUCCAGCUCGAGCUGGCAUAUAAGUGCCCUCCAUCAUCCUUUCAGUUGUCCAAAUGCACAUUCAAUGGCCAUCCUGCAACUACUCAGACGGUUGUUGAAAACCAG